CAAUUGAUCAAAUAAAUAUGCUGAAUCGAAAAGAAAGAGAGAGAGAGCGAGAGAUCAUCCUCUGCUAUGGAAAUGGGAUCUCAGUCUUGGCUUCCCAGCUGAAUCACUAGCGCCAUUACUUCCAUCGAUACCUUUGAUUCAGUCACUGACUUUUCUCUCACUCUCCUUCCCUUUACAGGUUCGUUAAUUUUCAUGUAAAUGAUCAACCUGAGCAGUAGCUCAAGCGAUGACUUUACAAGUCUGAUUCAAGAGGUAGGCUCCACACAAUGCAACUGGCACCAAAUAAUGAUGAAAAUGCACACAUUUUAAGUCAAUUGGAUUUUCAGCCACAAUCUGUGGAAUCGUCAUCCCCAAAUGAGAUUAUUGUCAUAGGGAGAGAGAGCUCCGUUACGGAAGAUGAUUUACACAAUCUUAACGUUGAUGAAACUUGUCACCUGGUGAACGCAGACCUACUGCAAUGUCGGAUAUGCCUUGACACCGGAGGAGAAGAUUUAAUCGCGCCAUGCCACUGCAAAGGCACUCAGAAGUAUGUCCAUAGAUUAUGUCUUGAUAAUUGGAGGUCCACAAAGGAGGGCUUUGCUUUUGCUCAUUGUACAGAGUGCAGAGCUAUGUUCAUGAUACGUGCAAAUGUCCCUACUGAUCGCUGGUGGUUAAGACUGAAGUUUCAGUUUCUCGUUGCUAGAGACCAUGCGUUCAUUUUCAUCAUUGUUCAGCUGAUUGUGGCAUUCUUGGGGGUGUUGGUGUACAAAUUCUACGGGGAGGAACUAAGGGAAAUGUUUGGUUACGAAGAACACCCAUAUGGGUUCUACGCCAUGGCUGUCCUGGCUAUCAUCUUGGUUGGAUUACUCUAUGGAUUCUUCAUAGCGAUUAUAUGCGGGCAGAGGAUAAAUGAACGCCACUACCAUGUCCUUGCUAAGCAAGAACUGACAAAGGUCCAGUAACGAUUUAAGAUCAGAAUAUUGUAAAAUUGUCCUCCCCCCGUUAAGAGUUUUAUGUCAAAGUUGAGCUUACAGCGGAGUAUAUAGUCGAAGAUCGAGAACAUAACAAAAGUGUUCCUGAACUAGACCCCAGACAUGUUAUGGAGCUAAGGAUGUUAGGCCUGUAUUAAUCUGGAACUUCGUGAACUCUACUUGAUGUUUUGAUUGAUUUGGCGGGUAUACCUUUGAGUUGAUCAAACAAGGCAAAUUGUUUAUAAAAUUUCGCAAGAUACCUAGCAAGAAGAGUCUGUUCCCUCCUCAUUUACUAUAGCGGUCUGUUUGAACAAAUAAGGAGUCGCUUCUUGGUUGGGCACACAGACUUCCUGGUGUAAAUGGGCAUUCUACGUGAUGACGAGGAAAUUGCUUCCCGUCCCGCCAGGCUCCCCCUUACCCCUGAAGGCCAUUUCACAUAUCCUUUUGGAUUUGUAUUUCUUUGUGAAUGAUUCAAAUUAGUAAAUUAAACUGUAAUUUCUCUGUUAGCUAUUGAGUUAUCCAAGAUGCUUCAAGGUUAAGACA